CGUAGGUAACCUGCCUUGUAGCGGGGGAUAACUAUUGGAAACGAUAGCUAAUACCGCAUAAGAGUAGAUGUUGCAUGACAUUUGCUUAAAAGGUGCAAUUGCAUCACUACCAGAUGGACCUGCGUUGUAUUAGCUAGUUGGUGGGGUAACGGCUCACCAAGGCGACGAUACAUAGCCGACCUGAGAGGGUGAUCGGCCACACUUGGACUGAGACACGGCCCAG
rnacentral:rRNA from 1 species